AUAUAUAAUUAAAUUCUUUUGAGUUCUCAUGUAGGAACCCAAUCUUCUGUACCGGCAUUUGGAAGCACCAGCUUUAGCCAGUCACUUUUGGGGGUCAACAUGGGGAAAGUAGAGUAGCUCCUUAUACACCUACGACUGAAGCAGAUAGUUCGAGUGGUGCAGAGCCAGCUGCAAAGUUGAAGUCAAUAUCAGCUAUGCCUGUUUACAAAGGUAAAAGUCAUGAGGGGCUGAGAUGGGAGGAUUAUCAGUUAGGAGAUAAAGGUAUGUUUGUACAAUAUUGUACAACCCUGAAAGUUAAUCAUUCUUCUUUUCUGUGUUUGACAUUCCCUACCUUGCUAUAUUAAUUUGAAAUUUCAGUUGGACUGCAGCCAGCUGCUCAGCCUUCUGGAUGGAUUGGCUUUGGUGUGUCAACUGCACCUACAAGUCCUUUUGGUUGUUCUUCAACAUUUGGUCAAACAUUGUCAAAUCCUUUUUCCAGCAAAAGUACCAAUCCAUUUAGUCUAAAACCUCCAUCCUUUGAGAGUACAGGUUGUACAACUUCGACUGCUAUAUCAAAUCCUUUUCGAUGGACAUCAUCAAGCCUUUUUGGCCCAACUUCGUCAUCAACAUCUUCAAUAUUUGGUUCCUUUUGAGUACAAGUUCAUAUCAUAUACAUGCAGGAACCCAAUAUUCUGUACUGGCAUUUGGGAGCACUAGCUUUGGCCAGUCAACUUUUAGGGGUCAACGUGGGGGAAGUAGAGUAGCUCCAUAUACACCUAAAACUGAAGCAGAUAGUUCGAGUGGUACAGAGUCAGCUGAAAAGUUGGAGUCAAUAUUAGCGAUGCCUGUUUACAAAGAUAAAAGUCAUGAGGAGCUGAGAUGGGAGGAUUAUCAGUUAGGAGAUAAAGGUACCUUUGUAAAAUAUUGUACAACCCUGAAAGUUAAUCAUUCUUCUUCUGUGUUUGACAUUCCCUACCUUGCUAUAUUAAUUUGAAAUUCAGGUGGACCACAGCCAGCUGCUCAUCCUUCUGGAGGGAUUGGCUUUGGUGUGUCAACUGCACCUAAAAGUCCUUUUGGUUCUUCUUCAACAUUUGGUCAAACAUCUUCAAAUCCUUUUUCCGGCACAAGUACCAACCCAUUUAGUCUAAAACCUCCAUCCUUUACAGGUUUUACAACCUCGACUGCUAUAUCAAAUCCUUUUCAAUGGACAUCAUCAAGCCUUUUUAUCCUAACUUCGGCAUCAACAUCUUCAAUAUGUGGUUCCUUUUGAGUGCAAGUUCAUAUCAUAUAUAAAUAAUUAAAUUCUUUUGAGUUCUCUUGUAGGAACCCAAUCUUCUGUACUGGCAUUUGGAAGCACUAGCUUUGGCCAGUCACCUUUUGGGGAUCAACAUGGGGGAAGUAGAGUAGCUCCUUAGACACCUACAACUAAAGCAGAUAGUUCGAGUGGUACAGAGUCAGCUGCAAAGUUGGAGUCAAUAUCAGCGAUGCCUGUUUACAAAGAUAAAAGUCAUGAGGAGCUGAGAUGGAAGGAUUAUCAGUUAGGAGAUAAAGGUACCUUUGUAAAAUAUUGUACAACCCUGAAAGUUAAUCAUUCUUCUUUUCUGUGUUUGACAUUCCCUACCUUGCUAUAUCAAUUUGAAAUUUCAGGUGGACGGCAGCCACCUGCCUAGCCUUCUGGAGUGAUUGGCUUUGGUGUGUCAACUGCACCUACAAGUCCUUUUGGUUGUUCUUCAACAUUUGGUCAAACAUCUUCAAAUCCUUUUUCCCGCACAAUUACCACUCCAUUUAGUCUAAAACCUCCAUCCUUUAAUAGUACAGGUUUUACAACCUUGACUGCUAUAUCAAAUCCUUUUCAAUGGACAUCAUCAAGCCUUUUUGGCCCAACUUUGUCAUCAACAUCUUCAAUAUUUGGUUCUUCUUCCACUCCUACGUUUGGAACUGGUUCAUCUCCCUUUAGUCUGUCUGUCACUCCCUCAUUUUCAACUUCACCGUCCAUUUUUGGUGCUGGCGCAGCUCCUGCAACAACUCCAGCAUUUGCUACUGGUUUAAAUUUUAGCAUUUGCUACUGGUUCAAUUCUACCCCUGCAAUUGGGUAGACAAGCAAAGCUUUUGGGUGGAUGACCUCUACCUUUGGACAGAAUACUAGUAACUUUGGUCAAACAAGCAUUUUCAACACGCCUUCCACUGGAUUUAUUGGGAAUAUGUUUUCGAGUUCUCUAUCCUUGGCUCCUUCUAGUAACCCAGCUGCCUUCGGCACAACUGUAAGUUAUAAUGUUUGUUGCUUAGUCUUCAAUUUGAUCUAAGCGCUUUAUUUCUGUACAUUUUCAUCAUUCUGUUUUAGGGUUGCAGAAUUAUCUGCAUUUCUUCCUUCUUUUAUUGAACUGAGAGUUCAAAAUAAUUGUCUACUGUUGAGCCCUGUGGUGUAUGAUUGAUUGAAAAGUGGACUAGAUAUCCAAUUUAAUUGCUGAUAGGAUUCAGAUAUUUGCUUCUCAAUACGCCAAUUACAAUGCUAAACUUCUCGAUACAUUUCACAGAGGCGGAUUAAGUUGCCUUCAAGGAAAUAAUAUUUAGGUGAGGGUCCUACCACUCAUGAAAGAGCAACUCUAAUCCGCUGAUAUAAAAUAUUAUUACAUUCCUCACCAUAUAAGAUUACAGUUCUUACGUGUUUAUUUCAUUUGUUAAUCGAUAUCUUUAGGAUCAUUUUUCAGUGAUGAUGAAGAUACACCCAGCACACCUAAGUCUGAUGCUGUUUUUAUUCCUAGGGAAAACUCAAGGGCUCUGGGCAUUUAUCCUAGAGCUGGUCGACGGGAAAGGGCUGGUCGAGGGGAGAUGGGAUGUUAGUGCUCUUACCUGAAUCUUUGAAUUUUAAGGAG
rnacentral:lncRNA from 1 species